ensembl:snRNA U6 U6 spliceosomal RNA
GCUCGCUUCGGCAGCACAUAUACUAAAAUUGGAACCACACAGAGAGGAUUAGCAUGGCCCCUGCACAAGGAUGACAUGCAAAAUCAUCACACAUUCCGUAUUUUU